CCAGCUGAUGGGCAAGGUUGUCGUCAACGGUGUGUAUCCGAGGAUGUGGWAAUGUAGCUUCGCAUUUCCAYGGAGGGUAGCAAGCUGAUUUGUUUUUGAACCAUGACGUGUUGGCACAAGCCCGGCUAGCGAUGCGUUGUGCGUAGAAAACCAUAAUGCGAGCGUUUUGACGAAGCAAUUGUCGGUUUCGUAGCUUAAUUGUUUCUCGCAUCGUUCGGUGCAUUUUUGGGAUUACUUUGGCUUUUGGUUGCUUGCUUGGCUUUUGUGCUAUGUGGGUGGCUACUAGUCGGGUGGUUUCGGGAAAUGUUUACCGUAAAGGUGCAUGAGUGGUGUUUGGUUUGUUACGGGUGGUUGGAUGUCUUCUAGCGAAGCAACUUCCAUGCGUGCUUACCUCUUCAUUUAUGCAGCAAGGCUUGUUUGUCUUGCUCAUAUUGUGGGUUUCCUGUGUUGCGUACCUAAACAAAGGCAUUGUAUGGAUCGAUAUAAGCUGUUUUCGUCAUGCAUCGCACUUGUGGUGUGUGACGGACCAGAAAGAGUUCUCUGUAAUCCAUCUCGUCAUUGUAAACACUUUGAUGAUGUGGCUUGCUGAGUUUCACUUGGAUUCUUGGAUAUUGAACCUAAUGUGGGCAUGGGGUCUUACAUGAUCCUUUUUUGCCCUCGUUUAGCGUUCUCGCUUCUCUAAAACGAUCACUCGUCAUGUGUUGGCAUGUCCAUGCGUGGUGGGUUGCAUCGAAGAGGAAUGCUACC
rnacentral:misc_RNA from 1 species